rnacentral:rRNA from 1 species
UACGUAGGGGGCUAGCGUUGUCCGGAAUCAUUGGGCGUAAAGAGCGUGUAGGCGGUCCGGUAAGUCCGCUGUGAAAGUCGGGGGCUCAACCCUCGAAUGCCGGUGGAUACUGUCGGGCUAGAGUGCGGAAGAGGCGAGUGGAAUUCCUGGUGUAGCGGUGAAAUGCGCAGAUAUCAGGAGGAACACCUAUUGCGAAGGCAGCUCGCUGGGACGUAACUGACGCUGAGGAGCGAAAGCGUGGGGAGCAAACAGG